AUGCAUCAAGUUGUGAAAAUUGAAUUCAAUUUAAAAAGCAGAGGUUCCCUUAUGGCUUCGAAUGAGAAUACAAUUGAUUGGGCGAAGGCUGCAGCGACAUGGGUUUCACAAAAACAUGAUGGUACGCAAAAAAAAUCGGUGCCUGAAAAUGUUCGACCACAACAACCAGUAGUUCCUUUUCAUACAAUACCUGAAAGAAUUCCUGUAGGUUCUUAUGGUACAUCAGGAGUGUAUCCAAUGCCAUACAAUGCAUUUAUGAAUACAAGAGCACCAGGAACAAAUCUUAUUUUACCUCUAGGGGGUCAUCCUCAUUCUUCAGUAGGAACAACUCCUCCUACGAAUCUUUUUGUUAAUGGAACGAAUAUGAAUGUUCUUUCAAAUGGACCACCCGCUUUUCCUUUUCCAGGAUUGAUAAAGACUAUGCAGCCACGACUUGGAGAGUCGUUUUUUUUUAAUGGCACGACUCCUUCGCGCUCACAUUAUGGGACAAUGGUACCGGGAAGUGACAAAAGUGGUGCAUUUCCAACAGAGACCUCAUUUUCGACGACUAGUAGUACUGUUCCUGCUUCAUCACCAUGGAUAAAGGAAGGUCCGAAACCAACUGGUUUUCCAGAUGCGUCUACCAAUACAACAAUUCAUGGUGACCUUCAGGGAGACAUGGAAAAUCAAAAGGCUGAAUGUAAAACGCUAAACGCACAAGGCACAUUUCCGAUGAAGACCAUACAACAAGAGAGUGUAGACAUUUUACAACAAGGUCUUGUGUCUUCUACUUUUCAAACGUCACGCCAUCCUGACACGGAAGCUUACGUACCUACAAUUAGUGCGGGUCCAGUAUCAGCAACGUCUCUAAUAGGAAAGCCACGUACUGUUUCUCUAGCUUCACCCAAUCCACUUCUUCCAAUGGUGCGACAUCCUAGUAUGCCAGGAGUCCCUUCGCAAAUUUUACAUCCAUCUGUUCAGCAGUCAUUAAUGCUUGGAGGUGCUCCAUCGAAUCCUCCCCUUCAUUUACAAUUUUCCAUGACAUUUCGUCGAAGUUAUGGUCCUCCCGUUCCUGACCCAACUUUAGAACCAGAUGAAGAAAUUCUUGAUGAACGUGAGGCAUAUGAUAAUGGGGGUUUGCCUUUUUUCACGAAUGAAGAAUUGAAAAAAGGUUUAUUUCGUUCCCCUCCAGAUGGUGUGACACUUCCUUUAAGUGAGCCUGUCAAUAAAGAAGAAAUCAAUUGUCAUAGUAAAGAUGCGGAAAAUACCAAGGUGGUUUCUGUACGUGAGUAUCCUGGGCCUUAUGUUAAAGUUGUAUCGUACAGUCGAGAGGGUCAAAUUUUGGGAAGUAUACUUUUAAAUAAACAUAGUUGUCUUGUAUUUGGUUCUAAUCCGAAACAGGCACAUAUUAUUGAUAGUCAUACUUCUGUUUACUCCCAACAUUGCGCUAUGGCAGUAUGUUACAAAGGGAAAACGUCAACAAAAUCUGUGUAUCAACCUUGCGCGUUAUAUAUUUUUUCACUGGGAGGAAGCACGAAGCUUUUAAAACCGGAGCAAGUUCCUUUUUUCUGUCAAAAAGAAAAUGAAGAAACAGCGCUAAAACAAGGAAGCACGGAAGAAAACCCUUCGACAAAUACCGUUAGUGAAUGUGUGAUUUCUUCAAGUGAAGAGGGAAUGAAAAAUGAAGUACCGCAAGUUUCUGGUGAAGGGGGCACAAAAGAAGAAGAGCAAGGGUCUGUUUUACCAUUACCAAAAGUGGCAAAACCGGGUGAGUCGAACGAAGCGAUUGAAAUGUUAACAGAUGCAGGGCGACGACGUGAAAUUCCACUCAACUCCCAGUUAUUUGUACAAUUAAGCGGAUCACGUCGCUAUUAUCUUAUUGACGCGACAUAUUUUAAUGUGGUUUCCGUAAGAGAUGAAGACGCACCAGGUCCCAAAUUUCGCUUCAAUGGCGUCAAAAACGAUAAUGAACCAGAAGACCUGGUAGAAGUAGAAAACGUCAAAGCAAAUUGUAACGAACAGCAUCGUCCGCAUGAGUCGAAAUCGAAACGGGAAAGUCGAUCUUCGAGCGAUCACGCCUCGAUGCGCCGAAGCCGCCGCCACUCUUCCCGAUCCAAUGAAAGAAAGUAUCGUUCGACGCGUGACAAGCAUGUGGAAAAAUAUCAUGACAAAAAAGAACAACGUACUAGUCGAGGUCAUAGUGUUGACAAAUAUUCUCGACAUGGCCGUUACUCGAGUCAUUCACGACAUGCCAGGAGAAGUGUCAGUCCUAGUCCCAGAUCUUCACGUUAUCGUGACAGUCAUAAAUCAAAACGGCAACUUUCAAGAUCUCCAAGAGAUUACAAUAAAACAUAUGAUAGACGUAGACGAUAGUCUAAGAGAUAUUUUUUUAAUAAAUUUCGUACUAUCAAAUUGUCCAUGCUGGAUUCAAAGUGUUUGUAACAGUCUUGUUCAGUGUUUUUUAAAAGGAUUUGUAAUGACCUUAAGGUCUAUUUAACAAAAAAGUUACAGCGUUUCGAUGCAUUGUAUCUCGGUGUUGUAAAAAAACAGCGUCAGUAGAUACGUCGUUGAGAAUCUUUUAUGCAGCAAAACGUUACUAUCAACUUGGAACCAAAAUACAAACGACAAGGAGCAUUUCCUUCGCUGCUUGACUAGUCCUUUUCUCUUCUUGUUCCUCAGCUUUCCUAUGAUUUUUUUUAAAUGCUCAAUACCAUAUAAUAAAAAAGCGGUUUUUUGUUAUAACAUUUCAAUGAAAAAAAAAAAUAUUUUUUCUACGGUAAGCUUUUGCCCAAUUACGCUUUGGUUUUUCAAAAAAUAACGUCGCCACACUGAAGGAUUUUAAAAACGUGAAAGCACAUAAAACCAUCAUGAAGCCUUCAGUGUUGCUCCGGAUGCUUGGAGCAACAUGCUGUCUAGGAGUGGCUGUCACGAUGAACCGAAUCGGAUGCAACUAUGCAAUGUUCUCCUACGACUAUGAAACAGGUGAACAGUAGGUGUAUUGUUUUGGCGACUUCACGUCGCGUUUUUAAAAUGGCGGUUCUUGUUCAUUAAAAUAGUCAUUCUCAUGGGGUUUGUGGAUCGUUUUGGAAACAACCUGAAAGUAUAGGUUUCCUUAAAAAAAAAAACGACAUUGUUUUUUUCUUACUCGAAACGGGAAGGCAUGUUUGGGACAGCCGCCGGAAUUAAAUGCUUUUUUUUUUUAAGGAUCAUGUCUUGUUUUCAAAUUGAAUAAGAAAUGCGAAAAAACAACAAGAAUGAGACCUCAAGGAAUUUUAUGUUGUCUUUGUCAAAAAGAAUAUUUCAAGGCUUCUUUACCGCAUCAUCAAAAAUUUUGUGCUCGGUUGCAUCAUGCGGCGACAGAAAUAUGUGCGGCAUGUGACACAUUAGUAGGUUCAAUUUGAAGCGCGUGUUGAAUAAAGUUGGUUUCUUUUGUGAAAUGCUGAUUCGCAUGUCAAGAUUGUAACAUUGGAUAAAGAAGCUCAUUUAGCAACGCGUUGUGUGCAUGCAGCUGUAAGAAAAUGUUGUUUGAAAAAGUGAUCACACUGUCGUAUUAUUCUUAAAAAGAAGGGUAACGAAAAGCGUGGAAACGCCGUCAAUAAAACACCUUCACAAAAAUUAACAGUCCAUUCGACAGUAGGUGUAGGAUUGUUUCCUUGUGCGUUACGUGAACACUGUGCAGGAUAAAGAUUUUGUACCUAUUAAAGAAGGUGGUGCAUCUCAAAGCCAAAAAAACACGCAUGAAAGCAAGAAAAACUCAACGCGUCAGUAUGUUUUAGGGAGACCGUCAGUAGCGAUUCAUUUUGAUAAAAAAAUUCUUCACACAAAUGUCACAUCCACUGAUAAUCCCUUUCUGUAUGACUAUGAUACGACUAUAAACUAGAAACACUUUGUUUUUGACGUGUACUGAAUGUAUUCAUUUUUUUUGAUGAGAAAAAAGUGUGAAUGAUGUUUCUAUUAUUGGAUUAAAAAAAAAAAAGUAGAAACGCUUGCUUUUCUUAAAUGUAUAAAGAAAGUGAAGAACGGUCAUCACGGCACAAAAGGUUUUGUAAUCAUUUUAUGAAAGUGAAAAGAGUCGAUUUUUUCUUUUUCUAUAGCACUUUGGUACUGUUUUGAAAAUUGAAAGAGUUGGAAUGAAAACUGUGAAAACAGUCGUGAAAUGAGGUGACGAUAAAAACAAGUUCAUUUCUAACCAUUGAUCCUAAAGCGGGAUCUAUUCCUACACAAAUUAACGAAUGACACAUGAAACACUUGAACCUGUUAAUGUCUCUAAAAUCACCAUCCACUAUGGAAUGUGUCCUUUUGGUUUAGAUAUAGGGGGAACAUUAACCAAAGUAGCGUAUUAUGUUGAGGAAACGAACGAACCAGUUGAUCAGUCUUCUUCUAAAACAGGGUCUGCCAGUCGUGACACGCAGAAUGAUUUAAAAACAUCUGGCAUUGUCAAAAAAGCAAUGGAAACCAAGUGUUAUUUGAAAUUUGAAUAUUUUGAUACCAAUGCUAUAGAAAAACUUGGACUAUGGUUGAAAG